UGUUAAGUCUCUAAGUACAUUUACCCAAGUACUGUAUUUAACUACACAGUCGAGGUACUUGUACUAUACUUGAGAAAUUUUCAUUUUC